GGGUAAGGAUAAUCUGACCAUGAUAUCUGCCAUCACUGAUUGCCAGGAUUGGUGUGGCUAAUCUGGAUGGUUGGGUGGGUAUCUCUUUCUUCCAUCAUUGCUCCAUUUGCAUCCUUCCCAAAGCUGUGGGCUCGGUGAAAGAGGAUGUCAAGAUCAUGAGGAAGAACAGACUCCUUGUUAUUACUGACACUCUAUAAAGAUACAGAAGAAAAGACCAAAUAAAAAACU
ensembl:misc_RNA 7SK 7SK RNA